rnacentral:rRNA from 1 species
UACGUAGGGUGCAAGCGUUGUCCGGAAUUAUUGGGCGUAAAGAGCUCGUAGGCGGUUUGUUGCGUCGGCUGUGAAAACCUGAGGCUCAACCUCAGGCCUGCAGUCGAUACGAGCAGACUAGAGUGUUGCAGGGGAGACUGGAAUUCCUGGUGUAGCGGUGAAAUGCGCAGAUAUCAGGAGGAACACCGGUGGCGAAGGCGGGGUCUCUGGGCAACAACUGACGCUGGAGGAGCGAAAGCCGUGGGGAGCGAACAGG